UUUUGUUUUUCCUUCUUAUCCAUGUCAUUAGAUAAGUCUUGUCUCUGACGUUUAGAUGAUUCACCAAUAUCAAACUUCUUUGAUGUUUCACUUACUUCAAACUUCUUUGAGAUUUUGGCAGUGGCUUCAGAAUCAGAUGAAGGAGUGAUACUAGAGCCCAUCUCUGAUUGCAUUCUCCUUGAAGACUCAUAUUGAGGAAUUGGAACUUCAACCUGACGAAAAUUUCUUAGCCCUGAAGACUGGAAGUACGGACUCAUAACUGCAAAUUCUUCAGCAUUAGGUGGAGGAGCAUUCACCCGUGGAGGUGGAGUCCUCGGCAUAGGAA
rnacentral:lncRNA from 1 species